rfam:Homo sapiens chromosome 15 genomic contig, GRCh38 reference assembly alternate locus group ALT_REF_LOCI_2.
GCUGGGCGUGGUGGCGCACGCCUGUAAUCCCAGCUACUCGGGAGGCUGAGGCAGGAGAAUUGCUUGAACCUGGGAGGCGGAGGUUGCAGUGAGCUGAGAUUGUGCCACUGCACUCCAGCCUGGGCAACAGAGCAAGACUCCAUCUCAA